GACGAACGCUGGCGGCGUGCUUAACACAUGCAAGUCGAACGAAGCUUGAUUACGGAUUCUUCGGAUGAAGUAUGAUAUGACUGAGUGGCGGACGGGUGAGUAACGCGUGAGUAACCUGCCCUUCAGAGGGGGAUAGCGUUUGGAAACGAACGGUAAUACCGCAUAAUGUAUUUUGACCGCAUGAUCGAAAUACCAAAGAUUUAUCGCUGAAGGAUGGACUCGCGUCUGAUUAGGUAGUUGGUGGGGUAACGGCCUACCAAGCCGACGAUCAGUAGCCGGACUGAGAGGUUGAUCGGCCACAUUGAGAAUGAGACACGGCCCAGACUCCUACGGGAGGCAGCAGAGGGGAAUAUUGCACAAUGGGCGCAAUCCUGAUGCAGCAACGCCGCGUGAAGGAAGACGGUUUUCGGAUUGUAAACUUCUGUUCUUAGUGAAGAAUAAUGACGGUAGCUAAGGAGCAAGCCACGGCUAACUACGUG
rnacentral:rRNA from 1 species